ACUCCUACGGGAGGCAGCAGUAAGAAUAUUGCGCAAUGGGCGAAAGCCUGACGCAGCGACGCCGCGUGGGGGAUGAAGGUCUUCGGAUUGUAAACCCCUUUCGGGAGGGAAGAUGGAGCGAGCAAUCGUUUGGACGGUACCUCCAGAAGCAGCCACGGCCAACUUCGUGCCAGCAGCCGCGGUAAUACGAAGGUGGCAAGCGUUGUUCGGAUUCACUGGGCGUACAGGGUGUGUAGGCGGUUUGGUAAGCCUUCUGUUAAAGCUUCGGGCCCAACCCGGAAAGCGCAGAGGGUACUGCCAGGCUAGAGGGUGGGAGA
rnacentral:rRNA from 1 species